AUUGAACGCUGGCGGCAUGCCUUACACAUGCAAGUCGAACGGCAGCAUGGAGAGCUUGCUCUCUGAUGGCGAGUGGCGAACGGGUGAGUAAUGCAUCGGAACGUACCGUGUAAUGGGGGAUAACGUAGCGAAAGUUACGCUAAUACCGCAUACGACCUGAGGGAGAAAGCAGGGGAUGGCAAGACCUUGCGUUAUACGAGCGGCCGAUGUCAGAUUAGAUAGUUGGUGAGGUAAAGGCUCGCCAAGGCGACGAUCUGUAGCGGGUCUGAGAGGAUGAUCCGCCACACUGGGACUGAGACACGGCCCAGACUCCUACGGGAGGCAGCAGUGGGGAAUUUUGGACAAUGGGGGCAACCCUGAUCCAGCCAUGCCGCGUGAGUGAAGAAGGCCUUCGGGUUGUAAAGCUCUUUCGGCCGGGAAGAAAUCGCACAGGCUAAUACUCUGUGUGGAUGACGGUACCGGCAUAAGAAGCACCGGCUAACUACGUGCCAGCCGCCGCGGUAA
rnacentral:rRNA from 1 species